UCCCUAGAGGACUAGUGGUUAGUCCUUGGUGCUCUCACUGCUGUGGCCUGUGUUCGAUUCCCGGCCAGGGAA